UACGUAGGUGGCAAGCGUUAUCCGGAUUUAUUGGGCGUAAAGGGAACGCAGGCGGUCUUUUAAGUCUGAUGUGAAAGCCUUCGGCUUAACCGGAGUAGUGCAUUGGAAACUGGGAGACUUGAGUGCAGAAGAAGAGAGUGGAACUCCAUGUGUAGCGGUGAAAUGCGUAGAUAUAUGGAAGAACACCAGUGGCGAAAGCGGCUCUCUGGUCUGUAACUGACGCUGAGGUUCGAAAGCGUGGGUAGCAAACAGG
rnacentral:rRNA from 1 species